AACGCGAAGAACCUUACCAAGUCUUGACAUCUGCUUGACAGAGAGGGUAAUGCCUCUUUCCCUUCGGGGCAAGCAAGACAGGUGGUGCAUGGUUGUCGUCAGCUCGUGUCGUGAGAUGUUGGGUUAAGUCCCGCAACGAGCGCAACCCCUAUCUUUAGUAGCCAGCGGUUCGGCCGGGCACUCUAGAGAGACUGCCGGGGAUAACCCGGAGGAAGGUGGGGAUGACGUCAAAUCAUCAUGCCCCUUAUGAUUUGGGCUACACACGUGCUACAAUGGCGUAAACAAAGGGAAGCGACGCUGUGAAGUUGAGCAAAUCCCAAAAAUAACGUCUCAGUUCGGAUUGUAGUCUGCAACUCGACUACAUGAAGCUGGAAUCGCUAGUAAUCGCGGAUCAGAAUGCCGCGGUGAAUACGUUCCCGGGUCUUGUACACACCG
rnacentral:rRNA from 1 species